rnacentral:rRNA from 1 species
UACAGAGGGUGCGAGCGUUAAUCGGAAUUACUGGGCGUAAAGGGCGCGUAGGCGGUUUGAUGGGUGUGAUGUGAAAGCCCUGGGCUUAACCUAGGAAGCGCAUCGCAAACUAUGGAACUGGAGUAGAUGAGAGGGUGGCGGAAUUUCCGGUGUAGCGGUGAAAUGCGCAGAUAUCAGGAGGAACACCGGUGGCGAAGGCGGGUCUCUGGGCCGAUACUGACGCUGAGGAGCGAAAGCGUGGGGAGCAAACAGG